UGCGCCUACGGGGGGCAGCAGUGAGGAAUAUUGGUCAAUGGGCGCAGGCCUGAACCAGCCAAGUCGCGUGAGGGAAGACUGCCCUAUGGGUUGUAAACCUCUUUUAUAAGGGAAGAAUAAUGACUACGUGUAGUCAGAUGCCCGUACCUUAUGAAUAAGCAUCGGCUAACUCCGUGCCAGCAGCCGCGGUAAUACGGAGGAUGCGAGCGUUAUCCGGAUUUAUUGGGUUUAAAGGGUGCGUAGGCGGAUUUUUAAGUCAGCGGUAAAAUGUCCGGGCUCAACCCGGGCCGGCCGUUGAAACUGGG
rnacentral:rRNA from 1 species